rnacentral:rRNA from 2 species
UACGUAGGAGGCAAGCGUUGUCCGGAGUUACUGGGCGUAAAGCGCACGCAGGCGGUCCCAUUAGUCUGUAGGGACAGGGCACAGCUCAACUGUGUCAGGCUUACGGAAACUGUGGGACUUGAGGGCUUCAGAGGGAUGGGGAAUUCCGGGUGGAGUGGUGAAAUGCGUAGAGAUCCGGAAGAACACCAAAGGCGAAGGCACCAUCCUGGGGAGUCACUGACGCUCGGGUGCGAAAGCUAGGGGAGCGAACGGG